UACGGAGGGGGCUAGCGUUGUUCGGAAUUACUGGGCGUAAAGCGCACGUAGGCGGCUUUGUAAGUUAGAGGUGAAAGCCCGGGGCUCAACUCCGGAAUUGCCUUUAAGACUGCAUCGCUAGAAUUGUGGAGAGGUAAGUGGAAUUCCGAGUGUAGAGGUGAAAUUCGUAGAUAUUCGGAAAGAACACCAGUGGCGAAGGCGACUUACUGGACACAUAUUGACGCUGAGGUGCGAAAGCGUGGGGAGCAAACAGGG
rnacentral:rRNA from 1 species